CAUCAGAAGUGGGCCAAGUGCCAUGUAAGGGUGGGGGGCAUGUCUCCGAGUAGGGCAUGCUAACCACGAGCUCAGUGUCAUUGGCACCCUGCAGGUGGUCAUGGGCAGCAUAGAGGUUGAGUACAAUACACAUUGGUGUUUACUGAUCAUCUUCUGACCGUUGGAGCUACUGCUGUGAUAUGGAGUCCUCUGUCACAGUUUGAACAGCACACUGUGACAUCAGAUCAGAUCUGGAACAUGCCUUCUGACAAUCCUCUUUUGAAGACCCUUACUUAAACUUCAAGGCCAGUGGAUGGUGGCAAGUUAAAUUUAAGACAAGCCUUGGGUGCCAGGUAGGCUCUCCAUCAGGGCGCAUUAGCUGACCUCGUGUAGCUGCUGUGCUGCUUAGUGAAAGUACUCCUGCUCCUGUGUGCUGUAAGAAGAUUCUGUUCCUACUGGCAUUUUCAUGUUCUUCUGAACGUUAUCUCUGCUUAAUGAAAUAAGAAUCACUGGAUAAAUUAUGGGAAAGUAUGUUGUUACCUGUAGUUUAGUUAUUUAAGCUCACCCAUAUUUUCCAGAGCCUUUACAAAAUGAAUACAUCUUUUUAAUUUCAUAUUUAAAUCUUGUAAUAGUUCUGACUCCUCCAAACAUCAAAUCAUACUUAAAGAUCAUUUUGUUCACUUAGACUCAAGGCAUAUCUGAAUAUCUGUUUAAAAAUGUUCAGUUAUAUUGUGUCAUAUUGACACAUUCACUUUAAUUUCAGUUAAAUUUCAACUAAAGAUAGUAUCAACUAUACUGGAAUGAUGAAAUACAGUGCACAUAUAUGGCGAUUUAAUGUCAAUUUUUUCAAUAUAGUGAUCAUAAAGGAGUAUAUAUAGAGAGAUGCUUCAUGUAACUUGUUGAUAUAUUUUUCAUGUGGAAAGCAGAACUGAGUCCUAGAAAUAAAAUGGGAUAAAAGAAAUCA
rnacentral:lncRNA from 1 species